rnacentral:misc_RNA from 1 species
GAUGAAGAACGUAGCGAAAUGCGAUAAGUAGUGUGAAUUGCAGAAUUCAGUGAAUCAUCGAAUCUUUGAACGCACAUUGCGCCUUCUAGUAUUCUGGGAGGCAUGCCUGUUUGAGCGUCAUUAAACCUCUCUCAAGUAUGAUUACGUGGAUGUGAAGGAAGAGUACCUUAAACUUAAGGAGUGUUCUCCUUUGAAAUUGAUUAGCAGAUGGUAAUGUUAUUAAAUCCCUGAUGUUGUAAGAAAUAACAGUGGUUUUGUAGACUAUUAUCUAGAUUUAAAUUAUAAUUUUUAUUAUGGUUGACCUCAAAUCAGGUAAGGAUACCCGCUGAACUUAAGCAUAUCAAUAAGCGGAGGA